rnacentral:rRNA from 1 species
AUGGGCGCAAGCCUGAUCCAGCCAUGCCGCGUGUGUGAUGAAGGCCUUAGGGUCGUAAAGCACUUUCGCCAGAGAUGAUAAUGACAGUAUCUGGUAAAGAAACCCCGGCUAACUCCGUGCCAGCAGCCGCGGUAAUACGGAGGGGGUUAGCGUUGUUCGGAAUACUGGGCGUAAAGCGCACGUAGGCGGACUAGUCAGUCAGAGGUGAAAUCCCAGGGCUCAACCCUGGAACUGCCUUUGAUACUGCUAGUCUGAGUCGAGAGAGGUGAGUGGAAUUCCGAGUGUAGAGGUGAAAUCGUAGAUAUUCGGAGGAACACCAGUGGCGAAGGCGGCUCACUGGCUCGAUACUGACGCUGAGGUGGAAGUGUGGGGAGCAAACAGGAUUAGAUACCCUGGUAGUCCACACCGUAAACGAUGUAAUGCCAGUCGUCGGGCAGUAUACUGUUCGGUGACACACCUAACGGAUUAAGCAUUCCGC